ensembl:lncRNA
UGCCUAUAAGAUGUACAUAAUGCGCAGGUAUUACUGCUAGUGCGUUUUUAAAAUGUCUUCUCACUUUUGUUUCUCCCGACAAUAGAUAGACAAUGGUGUGUGGACGCAGCGAGAAAUGGCGAGUAUAACGUCGUCUGCAACUGCUUUUCCAAGACGGGAUCAUCAUAUUUCCUUUGAUUUUCUGUAUUUGCCUCACGUUGAGCCACACGCACAAUACCUGAAGAUGAAGUUUUGUUCGUUCGGCUCGCGUUAAGCAGGUACAGAUUUUCUACAAAACAGAAGAGCCAAGUUCAUACUGCGACAUGAAGUCGUUCUCAUUGAUGCUGCUGUAUUUUCCUGUCACAAAUACAGACUUCGAACCCCGAUUUUUUUUGCCAACUGGACAAGUUUUUAAAAAAAAUAGUAUUCUCUUGAUUUAUAUGGAUAAAGUUAUGUUACCAUUUUUUUGUUUUUGUUUUUAGACUCUUGCUCACCACUAAAUGCUAUAGUUCUCUCCAUGGAUUUUUACUAUGACUAGUUAUUAGACUUAUAUUGCCUAGUUAUUUCCUUUUAUUAAAUACCAUUAGGUUUUUUCUUUAUGGACAUGCUGUAAUGAUGAUAUCCAACCAGUUAGCGCCAAUAGUGUCAUCAUUAUGUCAGAGUGCACCGGGAAUCAGGGAGCUGGUCAUUUCUUAAUUGUAGUUAUCUUAAUCAUUAACCAGCCAAGUAACAGCCAUCUGAUAUGGACCAUCUGCUGGCGGGAUCCUCAGCUGGCUGGGAUCUGUACCUCUGAAGAGGCAAGGCUACUCUGUUAAAUGAGCUAUGAAAUUCAUAGGUGUCUGGACAUUUAUUCCAGUAAAUGCAGAAUGUAGCCUAUAACAAACAGCUCAUCAUAAAAACACCACGUCAUUCUCCAUUGCUCAUGCACUGUAAAACAUUUUGCAUUUCAGUUAAGCACAGAGACAUCAUACACCAUAGGCAUAUCACUGCUUUGCAUAUGUUUCAGAAACAUCUAUUUUCCACCUCUGACAGUAUCAUUUGUAGUGCCAGUUACCCCACCACACACACACCACUUCGAUGAGAUGAUUAACACAUGUACCUCAAGUAUCUGUAUAGUUCCAUUCUACUUUGAGCAUAACUGCAGGUAGACAUUUGCAUAUCCAGUUUUCAUUGUAUGAAAGAGCCAAUAAACAGCCUGGUAAAGGCUUUCCCAUGUAAUAAUUUCUGCUCUCAUGUUUCCCUACAAAGUUCCAGUAAAUAUUUGUUAAAAGUCAGUGUAAGGAAACCUCACAGCCCGUAUUCUCAUGCUAGUGACAGUUUAUGCUGCAGUUACACCCUAAACCUCCAACAUGACACUUCCUCAACUUACUCUACAGAGCAGUUAUUGGCUCUGUAAAAUAUGUACACACAAUAUUAUUUUGUCAUUCCCUGGUGUCUCAGGCAAGUCUUCAAUCUUUCAGUCUUUCAUGGAGCAAUAUAUGUUCUUAUCAUUUCAUAUCUGUUCUGUUUUAUGGAUAAACAUGACUGGGACAAAAUUACUUAACGAAAAUUAUUAUUUGCCCUGUCUCAGCAACCUAUAAAACUGUGUGUGAUUCUCUCACAGAUGCAAACAAAUUGUGACUAUUUCAAUUCAUUCUGACUAUACAGAUAUAAAAUCAGCCUUCUCUUAUCCUAUUACAUCAUCUUGAGAGAAUUAUGUGUAAAAUCAAAUAAGCUCAGUUUUUUCCCCCCAUGGGCUAUUAUUCUUUAGGUCUGUGGCUAUCAUAACACCCAGACAAUUGUGUGUGUCUGUAGAAAAGCAUGAUUGCAUUUGUGGUGCCUGUUCAACUGCUACCUGUUGCCUAAGUGGAGGACAAGUGUUGCCCUGUGGGCUGUGUGCUGUUUCAAAUGACAGUUAAAGAGGUUGCUAAUGAAAUAUGAAAAUGCCUGGGGGUUGUUUCUCUUGUAACUGCCUGGCUUUACCUAAGCAGUGGAGCACAGAGGCUGGGAGAAGGAGGGGGAGAAUCCAGGGCUCUGCAGCACCUCUCUGGGUGUGUCUGAAAUGGCAUCCUAUUCCCUAUAUAGGGGACUACUUUUGUAGUCCACUAUAUAGGGAAUAGAGUGCCAUUUCGGAGGCACCCUGUCUUGGCCUCGGGUAAAUCCUGCCUGUCUGUUGCGGUUCACUCUGAUGCAGAGCCAGAGCCAUUCACAGAGCAGAUGUCACCUGCCUGAGCUGUCAUGGCCUGUUCAAAUUUGUCCUUAGGAGGAUUUGUUUCUAUAGCAGCAGAGAGGGGAAAAACACACAGGGAGCAGGUCAUUUGGUGGUGGUCUGCGUCUGCUCUCUCACUGACUAUUCAGGUAGCACCAACUCACGUUGAAGCAGAACACAAGACCUGUCCAUUUACAACCUUAUAGCAAAAAAAAGAGAUAUUUCUGAUUCACAUUGGACAAUAAAGUUGUAUUGUAUGCCACUUAUCUUCAGUUGAGUUGUGUCUCCUCAAGGCGAUAUUCUGAAGAAAGGUGCUGUAAGUGAAUAUUUGCACAUGUUGGGAUCAGUGUCUGAUCAGGUAUGUGUAUGGAUAUGUCCUUGGUUCAAACAUACACAAAACAUUUCCAUGACAUAGACUGAUCAGGUGAAUCCAGGUGAAAGGCAUGAUGCCUUGUGGAUGUCACCUGUUAAAUCCACUUCAUUCAGUGUAGAAGGGGAGGAGACAGGUUAAAGAAGGCUUUUUAAAGCAUUGAGACAAUUGAGAUAUGGAUUGUGCAUGUGUGGCACUCAGAGGGUGAAUGGGCAAGUCAAAAGAUGUAAGUGGCUUUGAACGGGGUAGAGUAGUCGGUGCCAGGUGCAAUUGUUUGAGUCAAGAACUGCAACGCUGCUGUUUCCCCCCGCUCAACAGUUUCCGAUGUGUAUCAAGAAUUGUCCACCACCCAAAGGACAUCCAGCCACCUUGACACAACUGUGGGAAGCAUUGGAGUCGACAUGGGCCAGCAUCCCUGUGGAAUGCUUUUGACACCUUGUAGACUCCAUGCUCCGGCUAAUUGAGGCUGUUCUGAGGGCAAAAGGGGUACAACUCAAUGUAUAUUCUAUAGCAUUAUCCAUCAUAUUUUCUUGUUGAGUGGCUCACUUGAAAAAGAGACCUGGGUCUCAAUGUUGACUCUGUGUAUAAAUACAAAUCGAAUAAAUACAAAAUCAAUUUGAAGGGUAACCUGAAACUAUGAAUUUGUGGGCAAUAGCAGCAUCACUUCCUGACAAUACAUCAAUGCUUACGCAACCUCCCUGACUAAGUCAGAUAGGCACAGGCUGGAGGGCUUAGUUACCAUGGAGAAACUGGAUCCUGAGAAACAGUCUGCCUCACUUACACCACACAGUUAUCACACGUACACAUGUUGCCCUAUAGAGGGGCAUUGAUUUAAAAAUUUAAUGAAGGGGGAUAAUUGUGAUAGCUAAAGUUGUCUCUAGCCUGGUUCAUCUCACAUCACUCUAUGGUUUAUUAGCCGAAACGUGUAAGAUACAAUGAAUGGAUACGAGAAAAUGCUGUGAGGGAGAAAAAAAACAGAUGUUCAAACAAUGUUGUUUGCUCUGGUUGCUGCCUGGUUGACUGGUUCUUCCAACCUGCACCUCCGCCAAUUGUUUGCAGGUUGGCUACUCAGGAUGGCAAACAUAGUGCCAGCAUUGCUAAAUGAAGUGGUCAACCUGUCAAAGUGCAGUGGACCAUAGAUUGACAUUUCUAUGCGUUCUCUCUUUUU